CUAUAAUACCAGUUCUCAUGCAACCACUGAAGUUAAGAAACGUUGAGCCUAGUCAGUACUUAGAUGGGUGACAACUUAGAAAUACUGGGUGUUGUAAG